CCAGAUAAUUUUAUACUUAUUUUCUUUUUUGGAUCUGUAUAUACUAUGUGUACUUCCAUAUAUAUGUCAAUAUAUAUAUAUACAUGUACAUGCAUGCUAUGUGGCUUGCACUGGCCCAGCUGCAGAAGCUAUAGAACAUAGAAUCAUAGGAUUGUUUGAGUUGGAAGGGACCUCUAGAGGCCAUGUGGUCCGACUUCCUGCAGUGAACAGGGACACUUACAGCUCCAUCACGUACUCAGAUCCCUCCAGCCUGACCUUGGCUGUCUCCAGGGACAGGGUAUCCACCCCCUUUCUGGGCAACCCAUGCUACUGUCUUACCAAUUAAAAAAAAAAAAAGUAAUUAUAAAACUCCAUAAUUUUAUUUUGAAACUGUAGAACCUGCCUCUAGACUCUAUUACUUUCUGUUCUGCAAACUGUCUAUCAUCAAGCGAUUUUCUGCCAUGUUGUUCUUCCACAUUCUCUAGUGGAACUGAAAUGAUCUUCUGCCAGCACUGACAUAAUCUACAAACAGCAUAUAGUUUCCUUGUUUCUUCUUAGAGAGAAAGCCAUGCUAGGUGAAAGCACAGACUCGAUUCAACCUGCAGGAGAUUGGUUGGACUAAGCUGUUAAACUCAGAAGUUACGUAAGCUGUUUGUUGUAGAGAAUGUACAUUUGUAGAGGGUGUGUAUUUUUGAAGAUGUACUGUCAUCGAUGCACAAUGUCUAGAAAUAACAGUUGCUUUCCAGAAUUAUAAUUCCAAGAGGAAAUUUCAUUGAAGUAUCAAAAAAAGCAGAAGAAAUACGAAUAACUCAUGCUGCUUUUAAAAAUAUUUUCUUGUUUCCCCCUACCUGCUCCUCUCCCCCUCUCCCCUUAAUCCCACUCCCAUCUCUCAGCCAUGAAGACUUUGAAUUUAUAUCGGGGACCCGCAUGCGCAAGCUGGCUCGAGAAGGACAAAACCCACCAGAAGGCUUCAUGGCUCCUAAGGCUUGGACUGUGCUGACAGAAUACUACAAAUCCUUGGAGAAGGCUUAGGCCUCUUAUUAACUGCAGAUCAACCUUUGACGCCUGAUUUAUUUACGAGAAAGGGACCACACAGUCACCGUUCAUGUCGCUUUGUUGUGGUAUCUGUCAGGAAGUUCUUCUCUGAAAACAGACUCUUUCUCUCUAACUUAGCAUCAUUCUUUGCCUGUCCUUAUGGGUUCUAUUAUAUCCUGGCACCUAACUAGCUGCUGUUUUUAAUGUCUUUUCUUUCAUUACAGUUAAUAUUCUUACAGUGGGAUUUUUAACUCUGUUUUUUUUAUAUUAUUUUACUGCCUAUGUCCUCUGAGUUCUGCAGCUGUUAAAUAGAUGCAGCUUUUUUCAUAUUAUUUAAACUGCUGAAUAUUUUCUGGUUUUAGUAGUUUGUGGGAGAAAAUGUAAUAGUUAGACUCUUAACUAUGGAUAGAUGCUCUAUAAGUGAAAAAAGUAAGUAAGUUUUAAACUACCUUAAAAGUAUACUCUUAUUCUCAUCAGCAUCUCCAGAAGCAUUUAAAAUUAACUUUUCAGUAUGUGUAAUCAUAAAAAGCAGAGUUCUUUAUGCAGCAUAAUUAACUUCUUUUGCUUUCUUUGUUUAGUUUUAGAAUUCUUGGAGCUCUGUCCGGUAGUUUUCUUCUGCUGUGGACCUGUAAAGAUGACCAAGUAAUGAAUAAAAGAAAAUACUUAAUUUUCUCUUAAUAAACUAAGAUAUUUAUUUUAAUGUGCACUUGUUGCGGUGAAUGUCAAUAGGGAUCAUUUGUUCCCAUUUGAUUUCACUUACUGGUCUUUGUUCCUGUUACGCUCAACAGUAGGCAUACAAUAGUACUGAUCUGUUGGCAUCUUUUCCAGUGUUUGUAGGUAAUCAGAGGAGCAGUCAAACUGUUCUUAGCUAUUGACUAGGAACUUCUCAUAUCUUUCUCACUGAAACUCUCUCUUCUUUAGCAGAAGGUGUACAUAGGAGGAAAGAGUAAAAAAAUUGUUUUUAAAACAUUGAAACUGGCCUGCUACUGAACCUGAAUGAAGCAUCACAUCAAUAUAUAGGUUGUGCACAAUCCUGAAGAAAAAGUUACUUCCUCUCUGUACAGGGGUUUGUGCAAUACUUCAUGCUCAUCUACAAAGAUGAACAAAAGUUAUGAGCUGCUAAAAAGGGAUUUGCUGUUGAAAGUUAAGAGUUUGGACUUGUUGCUGUCAGUUUUCUUAAAGGUUUUGUGUGGAAGCAGAAGAGACUCCUUGACCUUCAAAUAUGGGAUUCAAAAGAGCUGUCUGCUGUAGAAUGGAAGACUGCAGUCAGUCCAUGGAAGAGCAUUGAUAAUGUAUCAUUGAGGUCUGCCUUGUUUCUAGCUGAUGAGCACAAUGUUCUACCAUCUGUGAAAAGGAGUGUCUUGGUCAUUCGUUUCAUUUGUUUUCCUAGACAAUCGAGAUAAGAUCUGUUAUGUUUAAACAUAACUUUCUGCCAGGAGAAAACUUACCACUAUUAUUGUUUAUAUUUAAAUUGUGGCACAGUCUGAAAAAAACACUGUUAUAAUUACGUGAGCAAAAAUUUCUUGUCAUGCUAUGUGACAGCAGAACAAUAAACAUACCAUCAGUGUCAACAUCAAAAGUACAAUGCAAAAUGCAAACUACUAUUGGCUCUUCUUCACUAGAGAUAGUUAUUUAUAACUCCUUUGUUCUUUAUUUCUACAAGGAAUAAUACUGCUUCUUUCUGAAAAGAAAUACUGCUUCUUUCUUUGCCUUACUUGGUAGUUAGAGACACUCAGAAUGACACUCUUCAUAAUUUAUACUGUUUUCAGUUAGUAUUUUGAAAGGCAUGCUUGUGAGCUUCACAACAAAAUAGCUUUGCAAAGAGUAUUACAGGUUUAAAGUUUUUCUGUGUAAGUGGCCUUGGCUAUUUUACCUACAGUACCAUUAGUUUUCUCUCUGUUGAAACAAACAAACCAAAAAAAAGGCAACAAAGUUUUAUACAGCUCAGUCUUAUGUAGAGAUUGGGUACACAAUUUUUGUGAAAUAUUAAAACAGCUAUGGCUGACUUUUUCAUAAAAGCUUUUCAUUCAGGUCUGUCCUUCAUGCUGUGAUGACUUCUUGUGACACACUUCAUGUGCUGGAUAAGAGUAUAGAAAAGUAUAAUUUCAGGGAAAGGUGAUGAAUCAAUCACUGACAGUCCCAGGACAGCGUUAUUCAAACACUGACAAUAAAAAAGCCACAUUUCUUGUAAUCUGUAAUUCUUUCAAUAUAAUAUUUUGCUUUUUCUUUAAUGAUUAUUGAGAUAUAAAUGGAAAUUCAAAGCAGCUUGCUCCGUCUACAAGAUUUACAGAAAGAGAUGAAGGUUCUUUGGUCACUUGUUUUCUGGAGAGAUGAAAGUAAAUUCCUUCUCACACUUUUAGUGUAUUAAAUAAAAAAAAGCUCUCAGGUCUUUCCAUUUUCAUACUUAAAGAUGUGUCUUCAUGAGGAACAACGUGGUUUCUGAUGUUCAAAGAGUUGCAUUGUUUUCAGUUUGAGGUUUUGUUGAACGUUGGCAAUGAACUGCAAAUACUAGCCUAUGUAGUCCAAUUCUACACUGGAUGCUUUAAAAGAAGCAAUCUUGCCUUUUAUCUUAGAUCAACUCAUUUGACUUUUUUCACCUGUAUUUACUUUGAAACAACUCUUUGUUUCAGUUUUUUCACAUACCUAUGUAAUUGCUACAAAGAAAAUUCCGUCUCUUUACCAUUCUUGGUUGAUUAUUAUCCUACAUAUGUUUGUGGAUCUUGGAACUAUUACAGAGGAAGUAGAUAUCUUUCCACAUUGAUUUUGUGAAAUUAAUUCUGGAAGAUACCAGCUGAACUUUAAUCCUUUCAAAAAACGAACUUGAAUUAAGAUCUCACUGUCUUUCAAGAAAGCAUGAAUCUGAUUGCAUUGAGAGUACACUUUUUUUCUUUUUAAAGUUUGUGAGUGAUUGCUGGAAUACACAGUCUCCUUUUUGAUAGGUAAGGGUAAUACACUUUUUCCUGAGAUGUAAUAAUGCAAGUUUCAAACAAAAAUCUUGGCUGAUUGUAGACAAAAGCAUGAGAUAAAAGCUUUUCAGCCAGUGGAUUACAUUAUUGUUGAUAAAAGUCAAAGAAGGCCUGUCUGUAAAACCCAAAGACCUGUGCUCCACUGGAAGACCUGCACUGGCUGUAAACAAUUCCAGCCUGGUAGUGGACUCUCUGCAGCACAAGUUUGUUAUCUACUUUCUAGUUUCUGCGGAAUUUUCAAUAUCUGCUCAAAUCUCCACAAGCAAUUUUGAUACAAUUUGUUUCUUAGUACGUUCCACUCAUCUAUGGAGUUUCUAGUUUUGUUCAGGGCUGGUUUAAUAUUGCUACUAUAGUAUUGGUAUUGGCCUAUAGUCUUUUUCAGUUUGCAGACUACUUAUGGUUUAUGAGUGUAGGUUUUUUUUCUAUUAUUUAAUUUUAGUAAGUAUUAGCCAAAUGAUCUUAUUCACUUGUCUUCUGAGGUUCCCUUAACAGUUGUUUGUGAGCUUUUCUGCUAAGUGCAACUCACAAAUUUAAAAUUAUUGCUCUGGAAUAACAGCUAGUGAACUCAUUAAUUUUGUUUAUGCAAAAUUACAAAAUAGAGAAGCAAUCAAAGGAAAUAUAAGGAAAAUAAUUGAAAAAAACAAUUACAGAUGGAGUAGGCAAUAUCUGAGAGGUUUCUGGAUUUUUGUUUAGUCUACAUUCAAUUUACACUCAUUAUCUAGAAGAAAGCUGAUAGAGGUUUGUACUCAGUGUUUGUAUGCUACUACAGACAGGGGGGAGAACCCAGUGUAAGCAAAGACAACUCCAAAAACCUGUCAAGCCUUAGAAGACUCAGUGAACGAAAUGGAUUGAAAGAGGAAUUGAGACCUUGAAACUUGGGAGUGCUUCUCUUGUGCAAUGGAUAUGGAGUUGGAGCCAAGACAAAUGCCAGUGCGUUAUGUGGUGGAAUGUUUGCUUGCAGUAGUCUUAUGGACACAAAAUGUUACACCUUCUUGGCAUAAGAAGAAACCAUGUUGAGUAUUAAUGUUCCGCUGCUUGCUUUUCUCAUUGGAAAAGUGACAUGGAAGCCACUGAAAUUCUGAACUGAAAUGAAACAAUCGAGGAGCUCGCAAUUACCCUUUUCAUGUUACUUAUUUCAUCUUUUGACCUGGUAUCUCCCUACCUCUGUAUUUUGUUUUCUCUACUGUUUCCAUGACAAGCAAUAUGGAUCAAAGAGAUUAAACCUAGUUUGAAAAAGGCCCCAAUUCUUCAGGAUAUCAAGAUUAAAUUUUAAAAUAAUCAUGGUAGUUGGGAAAGUGUCCUUGUUUGCAGUGGGGCAGAGCUGCAGCUGGUAGCACUUCAUUUGCAAAAUGUUCUCAAAACUGUUAUAACAACAUCCACAGUACUCAUGCACAAACUGGGAAAUAAUAGAAAAAUUCCUAUUUUUUAAGGCUUCAUUAGAAGCAAAGAGCAAAAAGGAAGCCUGCUGUUUUUCAAGUAGAAACAUUUAAAUUCUAUAAUGGGUAGAAGGAUGAGGGGACACAAAAACUUCAACACAGGAAAAGGCUACAGGAAUUAACUGUUUUCACUGUUAUUGAUCUUAAGCAGCGGUCUUUGCUGAAGAGCUGAUGAUGUGAAAACUGCAAGGUCAAGUUUGUUAUAAGAAUUAUCAUCAUUUCUUUUCUUAGAACUGAAUUUCAGUUACCCAAGAGCUGCUACAUUUGUUUUAUAUACACUUCUAAAUUUUAGAAGGACAGGAAAGUGCAAUCAGAACGUGGAAAAUUUCUUGUUUUAGAGUUUUCUUGUCUGUACCAAUCCAGUGUGAAAAUAAAAAGCUAAGUCUUGCAGAUUGAUAGGCAUCACACAUGUGUAUGUUUGUGAGCUCCUUCACAGCCUCUCAUUGGGCCAGUUGAUGUUGUACUAAUUAGAUGUCACUCCCAAUGGGAUAACGGCAGAUCUGCCCUUGUUGCCAUGCUCUGGGAUUAACUUAAUGGGUGCAGUGCAAAAUGCGAUGUGGGUUUCUGUGAGAACAGGCUGCUGUGGGAACAGCUAGCUUACUGCAUUCUUGCCUUGGUAGGCUUUGAAGUCACUUGGCCCUUUUUUCUACAGCAGUCAGUGCUGGCAGAUACCCUCUUGAAUUCUGAGGUCAAUCCAUCCAUGGCAAAGUCAUUUUGUAAAUAUAAAUAUAAAAAAAAGGACAUUGCAAUUUCACUGCAGGAGUCAGUUCUUGGUCUUUUCCUGAUGCUGUGAAACAAGCCUCGCUGUCUUACAUAUUAGAAUGACUUGAUGGAGAUAUUACCUGAAAAAUUCAGUUGAGGGAUUUUUUUUGCCUUCUGUCCUAUUUGAAUGCUCCCCUUAAAAGUGGGUGGAAAAAUAGAAGUCUUUACAGAGUUCUGCUGAACUUUGAAAAUUGAAAUACCAACUAGUUCUGCCGUUCAUAUGUGACACACUUAUUUGCAUUUGCUCUGAUCUUUUGCCCAAAUAAAAAAGCAGGAACUGAAUAGGAUUUAAUUACAGGCUUAUUUAAAUUUUCUUUUACGCAGACAGUUGUGGAGUUUGUUUAUCUGGGUAAAACUUCUGAAACAUGGUUCCUUCUGCUGCAUAUUUUCUCUUUUUAAGAAAGAAGUACCUAGGCACUGAUUUUUGGUUUGUUGGCCUUCAGUUCAUUUCCUUCUGGUGGAAGCCAAUAUUUAGCACAAUGACACCACGCACUCUUUGUCAUAAUGAAAAUAACAAAUUAAAUGAUUAAUUUUCUCUCUCUGUAAAUCUGUAGCAAAUAUUUUUGCAUACUGAUUUACUUUUUUCUGAGUCACCUGGUUUUAUAGAGUACUGUUUCGUGUUAAGGAAUUCUUUUUUUACCAGAGCCUAAGGGACAUAAGAUUAUGUUCAUCUUUCUACUGUUAGAUUGAGUUUUUCAUCCCUUCUCAGAAGAAAUUAUUGCUUCUGACUUCUAUCAUUGUGUUAUUUUUGGAUUAUUUGGAUUCAUAUGUAGAAGAUUAUUAUUUCAUCAUCCAUAAAUGGUUUUAUUUGUGGUUUAAAUAGUUAAAUUAACAUCAAGAACACAUGUAAGUUUUCAGCAAUUUUAGAAGGAAAAAAUUUCAAACUAAAUUUGUAUUUGCUUUUCAUGUAGUGGUGAUUUUUUCAUUCACAAGGAGCGUGCACCAGAAAUGCCAGCCUUUGUCCACAGAACAAGUUGCCUGAUGGUGAUCAAAAAGUGGACUUAAUAUGAUUAAAUUGUUUUACUAGAUGAGAUUUUUCCUAACUUCUGAUCAGGAGGUGAGGUUUUUUUACUGGUCCUUUCUGGCCUGCAGAAUUAGUUCUAUAGAUUUCUAGUACUAAGAGUAAGUAACUGUAGGAUUAAAUGUAAAUAAAUGUAGAAAUCAGAUUAUGUGAAAUACAAAGGAACUUUUUGAAAACACUGCUUGCAAAAGAAAACAAAUCUGGUUCUGAGGAGACAGUUGGGAAGCAUAUAUAUACAUAUUUAAUAUUCACGUUCAAGAGAGAUUAAAAUAUUCUUGUUUUUAAAUACAUGUAUAUUCUUAUAAAGAGAUGUGAAAACAGAGAAAGUAUCUUAACCACAACAUGUUUCCACUGAUUUUCAUUUGUUUUUUUCAGUGACAAAUCCACUUGAUUAUCCUGACUGGUAUUGCAGGCUAGUACAGAUAUGGAAAAAUGAGCUGUUUGCCAUAUUGCUUAAUAAGUUCAUUCAAGUUAGUUAGCCUGGUUAUUUUGUGCAGGGGACAGAUGCUUAGCCUCUGGCAAAAAUAAUACAUGAUUUUUGAGAUCUUGUGUCAUUCUUUGUCUGCUGUUGGUUAGGAAAACAUUUCUGCCACACAGCCAAGCUUUGCAUAUCAAAAGUCAGUAGUAUGAAAAUCAGUGAGGAAGAGCAAAUAGAGUCUUUUUCAGACUUAGAAUGUAGGAUUUUUUUGAGAUUAAGGCAGUAUACAAGAUAUUCUAAGCUCUUUCAGGUCACUCAGUGUUACUUGUAAAAGUUAUCCUACCAAACCUUAAUACCAUCAGUAGAGAGCAAGAGACAUGCACUGGUUUCUUUAUGUGGUGAUUCAAAAUGUGAACCCUUCUUGGAACUGCCCUCUGAGGAAGAUUUUUUUUCUCAAUGGCUCUAUGAGAAGGUAUUAGCUGGCUAAUGUGACCUUAAAAAUAGGUACCUCUGGGUAUGUAAAGCUGAGAAGACUUGUUCUUAAUGUGUGCUGUGUUUUGUAUCAAUGAGUAGUAUUUCCAAAGUAAACAUAUAGCAGAUAAAGGAAGCUUUUUAGCAUUCAGCAUAUCUUCCCUACUCGGAGAAGCAUGCUCAGUGUGGCAUUGCAAUUCUUAUCAGUGCACAUACAACCACAAUGGUUUUAAUAUAAUGGUGUACAUGUGCAAUAGCAAAGAAAGAGUAGUUAAUACCAUCGUUAAGCCAAAGAUGAAGAGAUUCUCCCUGCUAUUAGAUGUAAUUACUGUUCAGGAUUUCACAAAGACUCUUCUAAAGAUCUUACAUUUCUUUCUCUUGUAAUACGCAAAGAAUAGAGAAAUUGUGGUUUGAAUGAUCUUGAUGUUCAUAGAGAACAUAAUGAAAAAAAUCCUUUUUCAUGUUUUAAUGUUCUUUUAGGUGGUUUUAAUAACCAUUUAGUGAAAUUGAAUUUCUUGUCAUUUUUAAGAGAUUAAUUCUACUCUUUGACAAUUUUUGUCAAAGAAGUUUGACAAUUGAGUUCUAUGACAAUUAACCAUCCAAUUGGAUACAAUUUUGUUUCACAUUUAUAUAUAUAUUUUAUUGUUUAAGCCAGUGGCAAGUCUUGAAGACAUUGUGUUCCAGGUGAUAUAUUUUUCUAUUUAAAGUUUUUUAAUUUAGUUACAGGAGAAAUGAAUGCUCAGUCCUUUGCAGGUUUCGAGUAUCCAUUUCUCUUAUGCUGGAGAAUAUACUGGCUAUAUUAGUGAAAAAAUACUUUAAACUUGAAGGAAGUGGGGACAGGGAAAAUACUGGAGACUGCUGUGAAUGAACAUUCGCAGAUGUACAUAGUCUUAAACAAACAAACAACAUCAACACAAAACAAUAGAGGGAGGACAAACAAAAGCCCUAUUCUUUUGCUAUGUAACAAAUUAAAAAUAACCUAUUAAUUGAAUUGGCAGAUCAUCCUGGAAAGAUAACGCUUAUGUUACAAUAGUCUGUAACCUCUGGAAAAAGAAGUAGUUUCCUGGAAUUAGUUUAGAUUCUGAUCCUAACAUUCCUAAUCCAUAAGUGGCUCUUUUCUACCUUCUGUUGUUACUCUUCUGUAAACCCCAGUUCCCUCUCUAUUUUGAUUUACUUUGUUUUGAUGUGUCCUAUGAUUCUGUGUUCAGGAUUAUUGUGGUUACGAGGUACGAAACCUUUCAUGUGCAUUUGUGCAUUGAAAAAAUAUUUGCUUAAGUAGUCUUAUGCAUAUAAUUUUGUGCUAGAACGUAAUGUUCUUAAUUUUGUUUUAAUUUUUGUUUGCUGUUAGACUACUCGGACAUGUCAUUUGAAUACAUAAUUUUUGCAACUCUCAUCCCUUUUGAACUUCUAUCUAUAUGGUAAUAUCUGCAAAUAGUGUUAACAGAACAUUUUUGGAACUGAAGUGUGUCAUGACUAGUGGGAGUUGAAAGAGAACCUUUCAGCUUGCAGCAUGACACUUUGCUAUCUUCAAGCACAAUGGUAAAAUCUAUCUCUGUACAGAAGAUCAAUGUAAAUCCUGUUUUCCACUUGAUCAGAAAGUCCACCAUGAUGGAAAAUAGAUAUUGCUCUGCUGACUUUAUGGGAGCAGAAUUGUCUCAGAAAUUUACAGUGAUGCAGGUCCUUGAAAGUUCAAAUGGAGAACAUAUUUUUAACCCUGUCUUUUGCAUAAGACUGAAUUUUACUGCAGGUUUAUGAAUUAUCCUACAUAAAAGACCAUCCUUCAUCAGGUUUUACCAUAUGGUUAAAACAUAUAUGCAUAUUUUUUCUGUUACUUCCAGGCACUGUGAAGCAGCUGGUAUUAAUGAAUAAAAAUAGCCAGCAAAAUCAUGGCAUGUGGUUGCUGGAAAGAACAAUUUAUAGCUAGGAAUCUUGUAGGUUACUUGAAGGAAGAAGAAAGGAACAACCCAGAACAUGUGAUCUCUGAAAACAUGGAUGAUCUCUAAGUGUAUUUUGUAUUUUGAGCACCUGUACUGCUCAAGGCAACAUAAUAAGGAACUGAGUAGAAGAUAGUAAUUCAGUUCCUACUGCUAAAUGUUAUAGAGAAGGGAAUCGAAUACUGGUGGGUGUGGUGGCUUUGUUUUUUUUUUGUUUUUUUUGUUUGCUUGUUUUUUGUUUUUUAAAUGCAAACACUAUUGCUGUAGUUUUCUUUCAUGCUGACCAUUGUAUCAAGAUAUCUUGGGGAGAUUUGAAAGAGAAAUGGAUGUGCCUUUUGUCUUCCAAAAUAAAUUAAAUAUAACUUAAAGAUAGAACUUAAUAUAACUUUAUAUGACUUAUAUAAAAAUAUAACUCAAAGAGCAUUUAUGGUAGCUCUAAUAGACAAAACUAUGAGAUUUAAUAAUUUUUUUUUAAUAGCUCUGGGUUACAUUUUUAUCUUUCUAAAAAAUCAAUUAGAUCUGCCUUCAUUUACUAAGACUAAUGACAAAAUAUAAGAUCUUUCUGUUACGGAAAAUGACUUUUAUAGGCUUUAGUGUUUUAUAACUAAUAGUUACCAAGCUCAGUGGAUAAGCAGCAAAUUUUGUACCUUCGUUAAGACCUUGCUUUUUUUUUGUUUUGCUUUGUUUUUGUGUGGGACAAGAAGUUGGUCAUUUAUUUUCUGUAAGGGCAGUGGUUCAAACAGUGAAAAGGCCAAUAUAAAAUGAAAAUUCUGUAGGGUGGGAAAGCUAAAAAGUAUUGUGGCAUUGUAAUGAGAAAAAUAUUGAGACUUAAUUUGCAGUGCGCAGCAGAAAUGCUGAGUCACAGCUUGAAUCAGCGAUUGACCACCUGGUGGGAAGGCAGGGCCAACCCUGGGGAGCUCAGGUGCAUGCAGUGUAUCUGAGUGAGCAGAACGGGUAGAGCUAGGAGCCACCCCUUCCCAGACUUCAUUUAAGGGUUGACAGUGGAAGUAAGGGUGUCUUGCUCUGGAGAUUCCUGUAUGCUUGAGGCCUUCUGAAGGUAAGUAGCUUUCUUCCUUCAUUUCUGCAUCUGUAGCUACUGCAUUUGGGCUUGUCCUCAUUUGUUGCAGCCGAAGACUUUGCUACCUUGCUGUUAUUGUUGUACUUUCCACAGUGAGACUAUAAUAGCUAGUAGAUUUCCUGAUUUUUAUAAGUACAGAGCAGCAGCAGGAAAGAGGGAAAGAAUGGUUCUUUACAACUUCUGUAGAACUGGAAAGAUUAACAUCAAACGCAGUCUUUUGUUUCCACAGGAGGAGAGGGAUGAUGCCAAAAAAUCAGAAUAGUAUCAUAAUAAAUUUAGAAGUGGAAAGUAUGUCACAGAAAGGCAUGGUGUUCCAUCAGUCAUUUGAUUGAUAAAGAAAGAAAGUUUCCAAGCGAGAUUUAAGUUAGUGAUGAGCAGAGGUCUUUGAUCUAGAGAGAGAUAUAGCUACAGUUAGUGUCUUAAAGAUAGUCAAAGAAAUUCAGAUGAGAUAUACGGCUGUAUUUAUUAGUGGAUAUGGUUGCAGAUUAGAACAAAUUACCUAGAGAAGUGAUUUUUGUCUUGUUUUCAUAUGUAUGAUGUAGGAGUAUCCAUGUGAAAUACAUGGGAGGGAAGGACUAUACAGACUUACACCAUGUGGACUAGGUUCACAGGAGGGACCAUCUGCUGAAUUUAUUCAUCUGCUCUUUGGUUUAUCCUGAAGAAGUUCCUUGAUUGCACGUGGUGCACUGAUGCUGUAAUGACAAAGAAAGGUGACAUGCAGAAGCAUUCAUCUGUAACCAAAUUCUUCUUCCUUAAAAGGUUGAAGGGAACACAAGUAGGCUAAUGAUGUCAAAGACGAACAACGUAUUUCCUGAAGAUGAUUCUUGAUGGAGCUGUGAACUUAGGAAAAGCCAAUAGGAAUAAAUACCUAGUGGUUUUGUGGUUUUAUUAAAUAUUCCAUUUACAAAUAUGGCAAUCGUAAACAGCAGUAGUUGAGGCUCUGUGAUUCUCUUGGCAGGCAGGCAAUUCUAGUGAAAACUCCAGUUUCGUGAUUAAAAUUCCAAAACUAUUUUAAGACUUUUAAUUAAUUUCAAAAGACAGUGCUGCUUACUGCUGUUAAAUCUAGCUUUCAGUUUCCCCACCAUUGUUGCUAAUGGCGUAUUAAAACUUGGACAUAUGCAAUUUAUUAACUGAUAUUAUCAAUUAUGCCUUUGUCUGGCGAAUAAGAAAUUCAUAAUGCAUGCUAAGUGAUCCUAAUAUACUGCUUUCAUUUUGUGCUGGAAGGAGCUGAUCACUUGUAAUUUUAGCUGACUGCCAGUAGGUCGCUGUGGAUGUCAGAUGAACUUUAUCAAGUAAAGAACAGUAUUCAGGAGAGGCAUACCUUGAUUUCAGCAAGGAACUUAUGAAGAUGGAAGAUGCUUUUAGUUAAGCUCUUUGCAAAAGUUGAUCAUAACAAAAGAUGCAAUUGCAAAGACCAAAAUAAUAACUCUUAGUAACUAUUAGUCUACCUUGUAACAGGAUGUUAAGACAUGUCUAGAACAAAAAAUAGUUUGUUGUAGUUUAUAAAGAUGAAAAUAAACAACUGUGAUAGUGAGGGACUUUAAAACCUCUUAGAGAAGAAGUGUUUGCAGGAUUGCUGCAUUUUUGCUAAGCAAAUUUAAUUCCUGAGUUCCCACAUGUGAGGUUUUUCUAAUUAUACCCAGCUAACAUUUAGCAACCAGAGCUGGCAGCUGGCAUGCUAUGGCUUUUUUUGUUGUUGUUGCUGGAGAAAGGUUUGGAACACUCAUUUUUGGCAAGUUCUUACCCAUGAACUGCAGAUUAUUCUUCAUUGUAGCUUUAAAACAAACAAACCUUUAUAUCAAGUAGUGUGUCACUUCCUUUCAAUAUACUCUUGAUACUAAUGUUUCCAAAUGGAGCUUCUGCAUCUGCAUGCUACGACUUGUAGUACACAAAAUGUCUUCCAGUGGAAAAAGUGAUUCACUAGCAGAGGUUGGUGGUGCAGACUCUGAGACUGGUUGUAGAAAGCACUGAUGUUAACGCAGAGGGAACAAGUUGCCCAAUGGAAACUACUGGUUUGUAAGUUCUAACUUACACUGCCUCAUGGGUGUCCAUCCAGGAUGUAUGGGAUAUUAUAUCCAUGCUUCUAAACUGAUAUCUGACAUCUGAAGAUGACAUGCAAAAUUUUAUGGUACAAGAGGUGGUAGUAUUAUGUCCAUUUGUUGAGGAUGAUAGCAGUUAUAGAAUUCUCCUUAGCUGUUCUGUUCUGGCAUGCCUCAUGCAUGCCUGUUAAAAUGAGUACAAUGUAGAUCCCCUAAAGGGAGCCUAUUAGAAAGCUUGAGGGGGACUCUUAUCAGGGAGUAUAGUAACAAGACAAAGGAUAACAGAUUUAAAUUGAAAGAGAGUAGAUAUAAAUUAGAUGCAAGGAAGAAAUUCUUUAAUCAGAGGGUGGUGAGACACUGGCACAGGCUGCCUGGGAAUGCUG